rnacentral:rRNA from 1 species
CGAGUGGCGGACGGGUGAGUAAUGCGUAGGAAUUUACCUCAAAGCGGGGGAUAGCCCGGAGAAAUCCGGAUUAAUACCGCAUGUGCUCUACGGAGGAAAGCGGGCCUCUACUUGUAAGCUCGCACUUUGGGAUAAGCCUACGUCGGAUUAGCUUGUUGGUGGGGUAAAAGCCUACCAAGGCGACGAUCCGUAGCUGGUUUGAGAGGAUGAUCAGCCACACUGGGACUGAGACACGGCCCAG